GAUGAAGAACGUAGCGAAAUGCGAUAAGUAAUGUGAAUUGCAGAAUUCAGUGAAUCAUCGAAUCUUUGAACGCACAUUGCGCCCGGCAGUAAUCUGCCGGGCAUGCCUGUCCGAGCGUCAUUUCACCCCUCGAGCCGCUUUUAGUGGAUCGGUGUUGGGGCACUACGGUAAAACGUAGGCCCUGAAAUGAAGUGGCGGUCCCGCAGCGGUGCCCCCAUGCGUAGUAACGUUUAGUCUCGCAUCGGGUCCCGGCGGAGGCCUGCCGUCAAGCCUAUUUAUUCUCAGAAUAGUUUGACCUCGGAUCAGGUAGGGUUACCCGCUGAACUUAAGCAUAUCAAUAAGCGGAGGA
rnacentral:misc_RNA from 1 species